UCUCCCCGGGCCACUGCCCAAAGUGGACGAGGUCCCGUCUGUGUGCUGCAGAGAGACUAGCCAUCUGAACACCCCCCAAGAGAUGGCCCCCACUAGGCAGUGACUGGAACAUUAAAAACAACAACAACAACAACCCUGUGUUAGAGCCAUGGCCUAAUUAUACUCAUUUACCUACAAGCUGGUACUGUAAUACCCUGAAGGAAAGCCUGCCAUUUCAUACCAAAAUAGAAAUAGUGAGCUGCAAAUUCUGCCUUGAGAGGGACUAAGUAAGGAUUUUUGUAGAACGGAGCUUUUCUUCUCCAAAUGAAGGACAUUUCCUUUUUAUUUUACACUAGGAGUUUAAUGUCGAAACGGAGUUGUUGUAACUUCCCUAAUGAAAUGCCUGCUGGAGAAUGGAAAGGCUAUUUUAGUUCUGGUCUCUCUUGCCAUAAAAGGCUCCGGGAUCAAGGGGGUUAAGGCUGGCCCUGGAUCCGGGGCAGCAAUUCCUUAUAUUGUAUCAAAAGUCUUUCAUGCUACCUGGCCUUUCAUGUAGCUCCGAAGCAGCUUUAUCGAUCUAUGCUAAGUAAACAUAGCUUUGUUUUCUUCUUCCACCCUCCGCCCUCCCUCCCGGCACAGACUGGAGUUGGAUCCCUUCCAAAGCGGCUGCUGCAGCAGCUACAGCCGCCUCCUCCACACACAGAAGCAGGGUUUCUAGGGUGAGGCAAUGCGUCUGCAAUUCGCAGAGACAAGGCAGGAAUUGUAAUUGUAGUUCAUCAUGUGAUGACUUAUGAAAGAGGAAGUUGGUAUGUUUUAGUCACGUAGACUCUGCCCUCUUGCUUAAGGCUGCAGGUCCUUUCAGAAGAGCAUUAUGGUAAUCUUUGCCAUUCAGAGUCAAGGUUACCAGGCUGGCUGCAGGGUGCUCCUACACAUUCAUAUGUGGACAGGCAGGUGGAUGGCACACGAAGGGUUGGUGGGACAGUGGGUUGAGGCUGGCUUUUAACCAGAACGCUGAAAUGCUGCAAUUUGUCUUAAGAACUAAAGGAAAUGUUCUAUGGGGAACACUUCUGCCGAGAUUAGAUGAAGCAACAGUCCUUUCCAGCUCUAAUUUCUAAGAUUUCUUUUUUAAAUAAAAAUCACAGUUAAGGAGCAAAAGGAAAACUGUUCUGUAUGAUACCAUCAAAAGGCAGGAAUAAGGGAAGUGAUCGGAUGUUAAGCCAAAGGGAGCAGUUCUAAGAAAUAGCUCAAUGGGUGGAAGAAAUCUGCCCUCCCCACACUGCGAUUUACAUGGGUUUCCACCCCGUGAGCAUUAAACAUCUAAAAUCUGAAUCUGGUCCCCGGAGCUUACUCCAGUGGAGACGCUCUUGUUAACAUACCACGGCCCUGUACUGACAGUCCACAGGGCAGUGUAAAAAAAAAAACAAAAAAGUUGUUCCUUCCAGAAGACCCCGAGGGAACUCUGCCCUGAGGACACACAGCGGGGGGAGGGUUGCAACGUGUGUGCUGUCCACGAGGUGGUAUUCCUAGAGACUGCUGAGUUCAUGCACUUCACCCUAUAUUCACAUGUGGAAUCACAGCCUUCAUUCUUUAGAGUUCAGUUUCUAUUAAUAGCAUGAUGUUGCAACCAUACUAGAGCUUCUUAAACUCUGACCCUGGCAUAUUUGGAGGAGGAAAAAAAAAAGGCAGCGGCGUGUCAUUUGGAUUUCUGUGGAUAACAACCUCAGCUCCUUGUACUUAGGCAAAACUGCCGUAAGAUUGGAAGAGUGCAUGUGCUACUCAGGGCUUUUCUACUUAAAAAAAAAAAUUAUAAAUAUGUACUUGAACAGAUCUGUUUAUAUGAAUACGCCUAUACAUACUAUGGAGAGUCAUGACACAAAUGAACCUUCUGUAGUAGAUAGGAGAGCCUUUCUUCUAAGUGAUAGCAUUUUAUGAGACAGUUCUACUGUUUUCAAAUUGCAAAUACACUUUUUUAGAAAUACUUUCCCUCUGUUUGACCUCUCCGUGUAGCCUGCCUCCCCUGUGCACAGAAUGCAUGUGGAUAUUAAAGAGACUUUUGCAUGUGGAGGAGAUAAACUCUGUGGAGGGUCUAAGAAUCAGGCCAAAUAAAAUCACAGGAGCUCUUAAUCACCCACAUAUUAUACACAGAAGCUGUUAGUCACCAGCCUAUGUGUAAACAUAUGUAUAGGUCCCCAUUUAGAGUAAAAAUUGGGGUCUUGAUGUAGGCUAACUACUUACUGUGUCAGAAUUUAAAGAGCUAAGUGAGAAAUACAGACAAAGGAGAGAUUGAGGUCACACACUCGCUCAGUCUGCAAGGAAAUUUGUAGGAGAACUGGAAGGGAUUCAACAGCCAUUUGCUGCCAGAACCCUCCUAUUGACUUUUUGGAAAGAGCAUGAUGAAAUGUACUUUUCUGGAAAAAGGUCUGAAUGCGGGUUUAAUGGAUAUUUAAGACACCAAAAUCCUUUAAAAGAGAUCACUAGGAAGAUGCUGACAAAAGGGGUGAACUAACUUCAAGGAUAAUGUUUGAAAAUAUCAAGAUGAAAUGGAAACCUAAAGUACUGGAAGAUUAAGUGAUUUGCCUACAGUAGCAUUAAAGUCUAAUGUGUUUAGAACCAAAAAACAAACAAAAAAAAGAAGAAGAAGAAGUAGAAGAAGGAGUUCCAGUCCAAGAUGGCGAUGUAGGAAGACCCCGAACUUACCCCCUCCACAGAACACGAUCAAUUCGUUCUUCUUUACCAUGACUAAGACGUCCUGUCCGCUCCCUUUAUCAAUUUAUUGGGGCACCAAGGCAAUGAAGACUUUGCCUCAAAGAAAACAUGCAGGCUUUUGAGGAUGAAGAACUGAAUUCUAAAUUCACGCAAAGGAAAAAUGACCAACAGGGCAACAACCAAGUCUGAAUCACAAAGAGCAAACAAUUUGCUUAGAAUUUGGAAGGGUGAGCCUUGGCCCAUAAGCAAGAACUCCAAAGUGUGUCAAAGAGUUGUGACUCCGACCAUUGUGUCGACUGAUCUGAAAACCACCAUCUGGAAAAGCUGAAACAUCCCCAGUGCCCCAGGUGAAUAGAAGAUGAACAAUGGAAAACAAGGUUCGGAGGCCACUGGUUCCUCAAAGUAAGUGGGUGGAUCGCAGUCUGUGGACAAAAACCCGUUCUUAAAUUUCCCUGCUGCUGGAUUUGGUGAGGAAGUCUGAAUCACAGAAAAUGCAUGCUAAUAAGAUUUUUUUUCUGAUGCAGUUUCACAUAUUUAAAUGUGUAUAUUUACAUUUCUCCACAUUUAAACUGAGUCAGAAAAGCACAGCGUCUGAAGGCACAGACUCCCAGUCUGAGACCUUCAUCAACGAGCUCAGGGAGCUCGAUUCUCCACGUGGCCAGGACUCCUGCUGAAACUUCCAACAGCCCUCAGAAAAGCCAACGAGGUACCCUUGGGCUGAAUGAAUGAGAACCUUCUGGAGAGCCGAAGACUGGUGGAGGUCCAGCUGGAAAAACAUAUGGCAGCAGAGGCGGAAAGAGGGCUUCAUGACCGAGAGCUUUUAUAAAAAAUGUCUGGAGGCUCAAGGCAACCGUUACAACCCAAGAUCUUACUAAGCAUGAUGGAUAUUCUUACUUCUAGGAUUGCCUCCAAUUUACCUGGAUCACAGCCAGCACUGCAUCCUCAGGCGCCCCUCGGGAUGGUGCCCAAUGAAGAACAGCAUUGCACCACAUCCUACCCCCAAGGCCAGGACCCCAUGCCUGUUCCCCCCGCCCCCACCCUGAUAGAGCACUCAAGAUGGCAGCUCACUGUGUCGUCCUGAAAGAAAACAAAGUUUGCAAAUUACUCCAGUCUGUUUGUUUUAUAACAGGUCAGGAGGGAAAAUGACCAUGGUCAAUUCUCUUCUUACCCCCGUGUGAACUCAGAGCAUUUUCGAGCUGCUCAGUGAGCAAAGCCAGGCAGUGUGAGUUUCUGACGAGGACACCAUGCCAAGAUGGCCUCUCCAGAUACAGGCACAGCCUUGAGGUUUUAUGUCAGUCCCUCCCCGCCCAGCGUCAUUUCCAAAAUAAUGGAAAGGAAGAUUUGAUUUUUCCAUGUGAAUUCUCCAUAAUAAUCUUCUCUUAUCGCUAAUAACCAUUUGUGUCUGUUACUGAGCUUUAAGAACAUUCUACACGGAAUGCUGUAUCCCUUAGAAAAGACAUAAAUUAGGAGUUGAUUAUUCAGAAUUAUAUAUAAAAAAAUACACUUUAUAAAGUCCAUAAUUUACUGCAGGGUUGUAAAAAAAAAAAUAGUAAGUUCCCCUAGAACACUGAAGUAGUAUUAGGUUUUUAAAAAUGAAACCAACAUAUACUUUUUAAAGAUAUGCACAGACUGUAUUGGGAAGGUAGACAUGUGUACCUCUUUUUAUCAGUAAUGUAGUUACAGCUGACACUAUUACUUUUCUUCAACAGAUAAUACUGUCUCCCUUCCUGUGUCCCUGAUGGUUUUUCCACCACCAUUCUCCUUACGCGAGGCAGUUGUAGAAGCGGCAAUUAUUGGAGUCACAAAACUCGGGGCCUGACUUUAUUACCCAAUCAUUAUGCCAAUUAUCCUUCUAGUUUUCCCUUUGUCCAUAUGUACACAUUUCCAAGACAUGUUUUUUCACUACUGGAAAGAGAAAGGCCAAUGGAUCAGUUACACACACUCUAUACUGAUAAAGCAAUGUCAUUAACUUUUGAUAAAAGAAGCAGCAAAUUAUAGCCCUUUAUGCUUAGAUUGUAUUUUCCUUCUUAGGAACCUGAAGCAAAAAGUGUGUGGGGGGUGGCGUCUGGGUGGCUCAGUCGUUAAGCGUCUGCCUUCGGCUCAGGUCAUGGUCCCAGGGUCCUGGGAUCAAGCCCCAUAUCUGGCUCCCUGCUCAGCGGGAAGCCUGCUUCUCCCUCUUCCACUCCCCCUGCUUGUGUUCUCUCUC